rnacentral:rRNA from 1 species
AUGGUUAAGCUAUUAAGAGCACACGGAGGAUGCCUAGGCACCAGGAGCCGAUGAAGGACGUGGCGAACAACGAUAUGCUUCGGGGAGCUGUAAGCAAGCUUUGAUCCGGAGAUUUCCGAAUGGGGAAACCCAGCUGUCGUAAUGGGCAGUUACUUAUGUCUGAAUACAUAGGACAUAAGAUGGCAUACGAGGGGAACUGAAACAUCUAAGUACCCUCAGGAAGAGAAAACAAUAGUGAUUCCGUCAGUAGCGGCGAGCGAAAGCGGAACAGCCUAAACCAAGGAGCUUGCUCCUUGGGGUUGUGGGACGUCUCACAUGGAGUCAGAAAGGUGUUUAUUAAAUGAAGAGGUCUGGAAAGGCCCGCCAUAGAAGGUAACAGCCCUGUAAUUGAAAGUAAAUGCCCUCCGAGACGGAUCCCGAGUACCGCGGGACACGUGAAACCCCGUGGGAAUCUGGCAGGACCAUCUGCUAAGGCUAAAUACUCCCUGGUGACCGAUAGUGAAGCAGUACCGUGAGGGAAAGGUGAAAAGCACCCCGGAAGGGGAGUGAAAGAGAACCUGAAACCGUGUGCUUACAAGAAGUCAGAGCCCGAUCAAUGGGUGAUGGCGUGCCUUUUGUAGAAUGAACCGGCGAGUUACGUUUGCGUGCAAGGUUAAGGUGAAAAGCCGCAGCCGAAGCGAAAGCGAGUCUGAAUAGGGCGAGUGAAGUACGUAGACGUAGACCCGAAACCGUGUGAUCUACCCCUGUCCAGGGUGAAGGUGCGGUAACACGCACUGGAGGCCCGAACCCACGUACGUUGAAAAGUGCGGGGAUGAGGUGGGGGUAGCGGAGAAAUUCCAAUCGAACUCGGAGAUAGCUGGUUCUCCCCGAAAUAGCUUUAGGGCUAGCCUCGGAUAAUGAGUCGUGGAGGUAGAGCACUGAUUGGAUGCGGGGCCCGCCAAGGGUUACCAAGUUCAGUCAAACUCCGAAUGCCACAGACUUUAAUCCGGGAGUCAGACAGUGGGUGCUAAGGUCCAUUGUCAAGAGGGAAACAGCCCAGACCAUCAGCUAAGGUCCCAAAGUGUGUGUUAAGUGGGAAAGGAUGUGGAGUUGCUUAGACAACCAGGAUGUUGGCUUAGAAGCAGCCAUCAUUUAAAGAGUGCGUAAUAGCUCACUGGUCGAGUGACUCUGCGCCGAAAAUGUAACGGGGCUAAACACACCACCGAAGCUAUGGCUUGAUACUAUGUAUCAGGGGUAGGGGAGCGUUGUGUACCGGGUUGAAGGUAGACCGGAAGGACUGCUGGACUGUACACAAGUGAGAAUGCCGGUAUGAGUAACGAAAAGACAUGUGAGAAUCAUGUCCGCCGAAAGCCUAAGGGUUCCUGAGGAAGGUUCGUCCGCUCAGGGUAAGUCGGGACCUAAGGCGAGGCCGAAAGGCGUAGUCGAAGGACAACAGGUUGAAAUUCCUGUACCACCGUAAACCGUUAUGAGCAAUGGGGUGACGCAGAAGGAUAGGGACGCGAGCUGAUGGAUGCUCGUCCAAGCAGUGAGGCUG